CAAAAAUCUUAUUUAUAGGUUUUGGCCUAAAGUCCUCCCGACUGGCUGAAAAUAUAUUUGGAAUGCAGAGUGAAUGUAUGCCAGCUGAAGCUCAAGAAAAUGUGGACCAACACACAAAGACAGAAGCAAGGACAUAGGGUUCUCAAAGCCCGAUCUAACACCAUUUGUGAUGAGUACAUUGUUGACCAGAAGAGUCAAGAGUUGACUGACCUGGUUUUUCUCUAAUUCGAUCAUUUCCAGA